AUUGAACGCUGGCGGCAUGCCUUACACAUGCAAGUCGAACGGCAGCACGGAGCUUGCUCCGGUGGCGAGUGGCGAACGGGUGAGUAAUAUAUCGGAACGUACCCUAGAGUGGGGGAUAACGUAGCGAAAGUUACGCUAAUACCGCAUACGAUCUAAGGAUGAAAGUGGGGGAUCGCAAGACCUCAUGCUCGUGGAGCGGCCGAUAUCUGAUUAGCUAGUUGGUAGGGUAAAAGCCUACCAAGGCAUCGAUCAGUAGCUGGUCUGAGAGGACGACCAGCCACACUGGAACUGAGACACGGUCCAGACUCCUACGGGAGGCAGCAGUGGGGAAUUUUGGACAAUGGGCGAAAGCCUGAUCCAGCAAUGCCGCGUGAGUGAAGAAGGCCUUCGGGUUGUAAAGCUCUUUUGUCAGGGAAGAAACGGUGAAAGCUAAUAUCUUUUGCUAAUGACGGUACCUGAGGAAUAAGCACCGGCUAACUACGUGCCAGCAGCCGCGGUAAUACGUAGGGUGCAAGCGUUAAUCGGAAUUACUGGGCGUAAAGCGUGCGCAGGCGGUUUUGUAAGUCUGAUGUGAAAUCCCCGGGCUCAACCUGGGAAUUGCAUUGGAGACUGCAAGGCUAGAAUCUGGCAGAGGGGGGUAGAAUUCCACGUGUAGCAGUGAAAUGCGUAGAUAUGUGGAGGAACACCGAUGGCGAAGGCAGCCCCCUGGGUCAAGAUUGACGCUCAUGCACGAAAGCGUGGGGAGCAAACAGGAUUAGAUACCCUGGUAGUCCACGCCCUAAACGAUGUCUACUAGUUGUCGGGUCCUAAUUGACUUGGUAACGCAGCUAACGCGUGAAGUAGACCGCCUGGGGAGUACGGUCGCAAGAUUAAAACUCAAAGGAAUUGACGGGGACCCGCACAAGCGGUGGAUGAUGUGGAUUAAUUCGAUGCAACGCGAAAAACCUUACCUACCCUUGACAUGGCUGGAAUCCUUGAGAGAUCAGGGAGUGCUCGAAAGAGAACCAGUACACAGGUGCUGCAUGGCUGUCGUCAGCUCGUGUCGUGAGAUGUUGGGUUAAGUCCCGCAACGAGCGCAACCCUUGUCAUUAGUUGCUACGAAAGGGCACUCUAAUGAGACUGCCGGUGACAAACCGGAGGAAGGUGGGGAUGACGUCAAGUCCUCAUGGCCCUUAUGGGUAGGGCUUCACACGUCAUACAAUGGUACAUACAGAGCGCCGCCAACCCGCGAGGGGGAGCUAAUCGCAGAAAGUGUAUCGUAGUCCGGAUUGUAGUCUGCAACUCGACUGCAUGAAGUUGGAAUCGCUAGUAAUCGCGGAUCAGCAUGUCGCGGUGAAUACGUUCCCGGGUCU
rnacentral:rRNA from 1 species